rnacentral:rRNA from 1 species
UGGGGAAUAUUGCACAAUGGGCGCAAGCCUGAUGCAGCCAUGCCGCGUGUGUGAAGAAGGCCUUCGGGUUGUAAAGCACUUUCAGCGAGGAGGAAGGGUUCAGUGUUAAUAGCACUGUUCAUUGACGUUACUCGCAGAAGAAGCACCGGCUAACUCCGUGCCAGCAGCCGCGGUAAUACGGAGGGUGCAAGCGUUAAUCGGAAUUACUGGGCGUAAAGCGCACGCAGGCGGUUUGUUAAGUCAGAUGUGAAAUCCCCGCGCUUAACGUGGAACU